rnacentral:lncRNA from 1 species
AAAGCAGUGUGCACGAACUUAACCACUAUGCCACCAGCCAGCCCCAGAGCUCACACUAUUGAUGCUAAAUUUAGUGUAAAGGAAGACAGGAACAUAGCCCUCUGCAGGCCAGCAUUCCUGAUCCCAGUCGCCACCCCUGCCUUGCCUGCCUAUCACCUGGCCCCCGGGUUACCAGACACUGCCCUAUGCUUCUCCCAUUUGUAGGGGGUUCUUUAAGAGCAACCCAGGAACACCUGACCCAACAGAUCUCCUAAUAACAACAACAAUGAUGUUAAUGGUUGAUGCUUAUUGAAUGCUGCUUAUAUGCUGGGAAAUUGUCUUAAUUAUGAGGCAGUUAUCCUGGUGCCCAGUUCCUCAUGCAUUGAAACCCAAAACUUUGUAUGUGGCACAGACAGUGCAAUGGUCUCCCGCAUAGAUUGUCUGCAGCUGGACUAGGGCUGAUGGCGAGGAAGACAAGGAAUUCCCCUCCCGUUGGCUAGAUGAGGAAAAGGAAUCACAGCAGUUUUAAAGGAAUUUGUCUGAAGUCAUCGCACAACUAAGACAGAGCCAAGAUCCAAGUUCGUCAGUUGACUGCAAAGUCCAUGCUCUACCCUAUCUGUAGCAAAUGAAAAGAAGGAAGUAUUUGAACCAUCUCGGAAAUGCAAGUGCCACCUCAGAAUAAAUGCCAGAGCAUGCUGUCACCUCACUAAGUUAACAGUAUUCAUUUGUAUUCUGAUGCCUAACAGUUAAGGACUCAGACCGUGACUUUUUCUUGAACUUGUUUUAUUUAAGUAGAGAAAGAUGAAAUGAUCUAUUCAUCUGUUUUAAAUUUAGACUUGAGAGCUUAGAACUGUUCAGUAAGUACAAUACAUAAUAGAAAAAUAUGCAGUUCAAAAUGAUUAGCUAUAAAAGUAGAGAAGUAAGAGAUUAGGAGGGAACAGAGAGGGAAAGAAAAUGACAUAGACAAAGGAAGAUGGAGAGACAGCAUCCCAGAUUUGCUAAUAUCAAGAAAGGUGAAGAUUAAACACAGGAAGAGAAUACGGAGACAGAUGAGAAACACGUGAAAACGCAUGCAGAAAAUCAGAGGUGGACACAGAGAGUCUUUGAUGGAAAAACACCUCAUCUUAUGACCUUUAGAAUAUUAAUGUUAAAAAUUUUAACUUCUAUUGGAACUUUUACAACUCUGGAAUAAUUAAUGAUGUG